AUAGGCUUGCGAAGAAAAGAGAGUAAAUGGAAAGGAUCCCAUCUAAGCAGCAACUGAUAGGCUUUUGGCACAAGCCCCCUAUGGGUCUGGUCUCCCCAGCAUGGCCCAGCUUAGACACAGAGACCACCACAGGCCAGGCAUCCCCACUGAGGCUAGAACAUGUUGUUCUUGGACCACAGCUGGCCGCUGAAAACUCAAGAGGUUACUCAAAGCUCUGUGGGAACCCCCGCCUGACCAGUAAGAGUGUGGUCCCGGAUUCAGCAAAUGCAACUUUCACCCAGAGAUGUGCUGAGCCAGCUAACGCUGGGUCUUCAAUAGCACCCGCUGCAGAGUCUUUGAGAACACAAGUGUGUGUUCCCCCAUUGACUGGGCUUUGUUUUGGGGUGGAUCAGUCCCACCCUGCUGGAGGGGCCACUUAAGAGGCCAGGGUUUCUGAGAGAAGCUGUCUGUUUGUGUUCCUGACAAAGAGGGGCACGAAGGGGCAUAGCACUUGGGCUCUCAGCAACUCCCCCGACAAGGCUGGCUUUUCAGACAAACCCGUCAGGGGUUUCACAACCUGCCCCUCAGCACAUUCACUUCCCUCUGGUAUCAAAGGAAGCAUCAAGCCAGAAACAGACUUGGCCAGCAUGUUAUUAAUAACUGUCAUGCUUAUUAACAAAUUUAAUCCAGCCUGCUGCAGAAAUGAGUUGCAGCAAAGAGACACGGUCUCCCGACACACUUGGCUGAGGCACGUCUUCAUCUGGCCCUGAUUUUCCACACCUGCAUUCAAGUUAUCCGGGCCACACAAAGCCUUUCCGUCCUCAACAGCAGGGUCGGGAGUCGGGAUUGUGUUUCCAGCAAUGGAGAGGCUGGCCAAAUGACUGUUGAUAUCAUGGCUAAACGAAAAACCGGCAUCCUUGGGCUCAGCUAACAAUACUUUUCCCUGCAUGAAAGGGCCCUUGGAGAAGCCAAGAGCACAACAGAAAUUUUUAAUAUCUUUAGCAUCACUUUUUAAAUAAAAAUGUUCUCCUUUUCACUAGGGAAAAUGUGAUUUUUCUUCAUUCAGGCCCUUUCCUCUUUGACCGGUCCUAGGUUCUUACUGCCCAUGUCUCAUGUCAGCCUCAUCCCCAGGAUUUGGCAUUCCCUGAAUCUUUGAAUGAAGACUAGAUCCCUUAUCCACCCUUAUCCAUACGCAGUUCCCUACAAUUCUGCUUGUUUCUCACUGUGCUUACAUCCUUUUCUGAUUAGUGGGUGAACUGUAGCAACUUCUAGUUCUGUCCUCUAGAACUGCUUUUGCUAAAUCACGAACUGGAUCACAUUUAUAUCUGUGACAAGUCACAGGAGGGCCUCACUCUUUUAAAAAGCCAUCUUAUUGUAGUGUUCUAGGGAAGAGACUGUUGGAUGUUCUUUUCCUGGACACAAACUGCACUAUCUGCCAUUAGACAGAUUACUGGGGAAAAUGCAAAUACAUAGAGCUUUGCUGAGUCUUUGUAAAUAUAAAUGUCACCACUCAGCUCAGUUGAUUUUCCGGCAUCAAAUUCCUAUUAAUUUUCAAAUGUUUCUCCUCUGGCAUUUAUCUCCCUUAAGCUGGAUCCCACUGUUUCCUCAGAGGUACAGCAUUUAACUUUUCUAGCACCCAAGUUAAGAGGAGAAGAAAACAAAGACUGGGAGAGGUUGCUGAGUUGCCUCUUGACCCUGCAUUCUGACUCCCUCCUCCUCCCUUUCCUUAUCUCGAAGAGAUCACAAUGUCUGGAGCUAUUUCCUUCUUCCUUUGCCUAGAUUUAUGUCUUCAUGUAAACACACAGAGAGAAUGGAGAUCGGUAGAUAUACAGGCAUAUGACUGCCCUCUCUCCAGAGUGAGAAAUCUGGCUUUGAAAUUUCUUCCAUUUGACGUGCUUAGGCACACCCUCUAUCCUCCAGACCCUUUCAUCACCUCAUGGCUUCCCCACAAAGGCCCGCAUUUUCAACUCCCUGCUGCCCCCAGUCACUCUUGACUUUGUUUUCUUCUUUCAAAUGGCUACUAUUCUGUUCUACCCAUCAUUUCUGCUCCAUAGACUCUGCUUCCCCAGAGCCAAAAAGGAUUGGGGUUAAGUAAUGAUUUUUUGAAAGGGGUUCUUGCCUGGAGAAUCCCAGGGACGGGGAGCCUGGUGGGCUGCCGUCUAAGGGGUCGCACAGAGUCAGACACAACUGAAGCCACUUAGCAGCAGCAGCAGCAGCAGUAGUGAAAGAGAAGGUUCUGGUUUCAGGCUUUCCUCUACCGCCAUCUUCUGACUGGUUCAGGCCUCACAUUUCCUUGAAGAAACUGAUCAGUUCACUUCAGUUCAGUCGAUCAGUCGUGUCCAACUCUUUGCGACCCGAUGGACUGCAGCACACCAGGCCUCCCUGUCCAUUACCAGCUCCUGGAGUUUACUCAAACUCAUGUCCAUGAGUCGCUGAUGCCAUCCAACCAUCUCAUCCUCUGUCGUCUCCUUCUCUUCCUGCCAGUAUCAGGGUCUUUUCCAAUGAGUCUGUUCUUCAUAUCAGGUGGCCAAAGUAUUGGAGUUUUAAUAUCAGUCCUUCAGUGAAUAUUCAGGACUGAUUUCCUUUAGGAUGGACUGGUUGGAUCUCCUUGCAGUCCCAGGAACUCUCAAAAGUCUUCUCCAACACCACAGUUCAAAAGCAUCAAUUCUUUGGUGCUCAGCUUUCUUUAUACUCCAGCUCUCACAUCCAUACAUUACAAUAGCCUUGACUAGAUGGACCUUUGUGGACAAAGUAAUGCCUCUACUUUUUAAUAUGCUGUCUAGGUUGGUCAUAACUUUUCUUCCAAGGAGUAAGUGUCUUUUAAUUUCAUGGUUGCAGUCACCAUCUGCAGUGAUUUUGGAGACAGA
rnacentral:lncRNA from 1 species